GGGGAGGGGGCCGCCACGGCAGGACAGCUGACUCCGCUCGGUAGCCCCGCCCUGGCCUCCUAGGCUCCGGGCCAAUGUCACCGUCCCCUCCCCUGGCCACCUCUGCUGGACCAUUGAUUCUGUAUGAAUAUUCAUGCAGCAUUUCAGCCAGGGCUAGUCAUUAAUAUUCCAAGAAAGCAGAAUGGGGCCGCGUUGGGUUCUCCUGUGUGAAUGGGGGUCACGCGCGCUGAUGGGGACGUGGCCUGGGCCUCGCGGACACUUGCAUCAGCCUCCGGGGCUUCUGUCUGAAGACGCUGUCUGAUCAACCCACUGACCGACCGCAGGCAGGCAGACGCUCGCCCUGCAUCCACGGCCCUCUCUGUGCUGAGGAUACUGAGGAAGGCCCGGCGUCUGUGGUCUCACCCUUGGGAUCCCCAGAGCAACACCUGCCUGCCCCAGCAUCUAGCCAGGCCGCCUGGCACUCUGGGCCCUUGGGGGUCCUGGCUUAAGUCCUGCCCCACUCUGGCCCGGGGCCAGUCCCCACGGGUGGCAGUACCCGCCCCUUUCAGCUUGUGCCCGCCCCACGGCUCUAGGUCACAAGGGCCAAGGUGGCAGGUGCCCACAGUUGGGCCAGCCGGGGUGGGAGAGCUCUGCCCAACCGGGGCUCCUGUGAGCUUGCCUGUGCCCAGGGUGGUGCACUCGCCAUCUCUUGGCUUAGGAGGAUGAGCUGACUCUGGGGCCGUGGCGGCGGUGCCUGAGCACCCUUCUCUUCUGCCUCAGGCCGUGGACGUGCCUGGACUGGGGGCGCCUGGCAGCCCGCCUGCUCAGGCCCUCCCGGCAUCCGUCUGCCACCCCCUCAGGCGCAGUGCGGGCCACACAGUGAGAGCCACAGCAACCCUGCCGGAGGCCCCGUGUGACACAGCUGCCAGCCUGCCUGGGCACGCUGCCCGGUGGGGCUGGGGGAGGGGCAGGCCCACGGGCGCUGAGUCAGCUGCCCCCGCAUGGUCCCGUCCCCACCCGGGCAGGGAUGUUGGUGAGGUUGGGGGUGGAGGGGGUGCAGCUCCCAUCUUUGGGGGAGCUGUCAAUGGCUGGGGAUUUUCUGGAAAGUGGCUCCUGCAGGAGCCAGGCCUGGAG
ensembl:lncRNA